rnacentral:misc_RNA from 1 species
CCAGGUGCGCACGCGCGUGUUGGCGCCGGGCUGCAUCAGAUAGAUCGCCGCGCCGCAGCCGGCUUCGUGGGUGUGUGCGUUUUCCGGCAUCCACUUUUCAUGGGUGCCCCAGCCGAGUUCGGACGGCUGCCAGAAAGCCUUCCACCGACCAUGUGUUGACGAACACAUCCGGCUCCUUCGGCUUCUUCGAGCGCUGGGUGUCGCGUUCGGCAAUGUGAAUGCCCUUGAUGCCGGCCUGG